rnacentral:rRNA from 1 species
UACAGAGGUCUCAAGCGUUGUUCGGAUUCAUUGGGCGUAAAGGGCGCGUAGGCGGCGCGGUAAGUCGGGUGUGAAAUCUCGGAGCUUAACUCCGAACUGCAUUCGAUACUGCCGUGCUUGAGGACUGGAGAGGAGACUGGAAUUUACGGUGGUAGCGGUGAAAUGCGUAGAUAUCGUAAGGAAGACCAGUGGACGAAGGCGGGUCUCUGGACGUUCCUGACGC